UUCUGAAGACCACUGGUAAACAUUUCAUUUCUGCCCCACCAUCUUUGGCCCUUAGUGUCUUCACCCAUACUAUGACCAUUUUAAUAGUAUCUGUGUCACAGGAAUUUUAAGCCAUAUCAAGUGCUCAAAACAGUAUGUGGCUCACGAGGUGUCAGUCCAUGGUCCUGCUCCUCAUGGGCCCGGAGUUGGCGUGAAAGUCGAGGAAGCUGCUCAACUCAUGCAGCUGAAAAGCAAAAGACAGAGGAGAGGGUCCAGGGUCCCGAGUCUUCCUUCAAGGACUUGCUCUGAAUACCUAACUUUCUUCCUUCACAAAGAUCUUACAAUAACCCCUAGGAGUGCCACAGACUGCUGACCAGGCCUCUGCUGCCAGAGCCUCCAAGGGACAUAUAGCCAGAUGACAUCACCGAAAACAACCAACAGGAGGGACUUGUUCCAGAUUUGGUCUCCCUUCCUUAUGAUGUCCUAGCAAGUCUUCGAUGCUGUGUUACUGGUAACCGGGCAAUUAAAUGGACCAAACCUGAUUUUAAGAA